UUUCCAGAGAUGGAUUUGUGCCUUCGGGAACCGUGAGACAGGUGCUGCAUGGCUGUCGUCAGCUCGUGUUGUGAAAUGUUGGGUUAAGUCCCGCAACGAGCGCAACCCUUAUCCUUUGUUGCCAGCGGUCCGGCCGGGAACUCAAAGGAGACUGCCAGUGAUAAACUGGAGGAAGGUGGGGAUGACGUCAAGUCAUCAUGGCCCUUACGACCAGGGCUACACACGUGCUACAAUGGCGCAUACAAAGAGAAGCGACCUCGC
rnacentral:rRNA from 1 species